AAGUCGAACGGUAACAGGAAGAAGCUUGCUUCUUUGCUGACGAGUGGCGGACGGGUGAGUAAUGUCUGGGAAACUGCCUGAUGGAGGGGGAUAACUACUGGAAACGGUAGCUAAUACCGCAUAACGUCGCAAGACCAAAGAGGGGGACCUUCGGGCCUCUUGCCAUCGGAUGUGCCCAGAUGGGAUUAGCUAGUAGGUGGGGUAACGGCUCACCUAGGCGACGAUCCCUAGCUGG
rnacentral:rRNA from 1 species